AUAAUAUAUAUAUAUAUAUAGGAAAGUAAGAUAUGGUCUAUUAAUUUUCAAGGUUAAAAGUGU
rnacentral:tRNA from 1 species